AGCAUUAUUACCGCCAUUCCUCAUUUGGCGGGAUAGCGCACGGCUGUACCCAAACACCCGCCCUAGAGGCGGGUUUU
rnacentral:sRNA from 1 species